GCUUAGCCACAUGGCUAAACAUGGCCAAUGAGACCUUAGCAAGUUUAACGUAAGCAGAAGUUUGGCGCGCACUAUUAUGGAUUGAGUGUUUGUUGCUCCCCAAAGCUCAUAUGUGAAGCCCUAACACUCAAGAAUACAUAACAAAUGAUAUUAUUUGUACAAGACACUGAAGUAAAAUGACCAAGGUGUUCCUAAGCCACAAGCUACAAGCACUGACCUGCUACUCCAGCCUCGCCCUCUCAAAGAGCAAAGAUGUUAAUACCCAGUCUCAGUAAUAAAGUCGGGUAAAAUUUAAACAACCAUGAGAAA